CGGCAGGCCUACACAUGCACCUCGAGCGGUAGCACAGAGAGCUUGCUCUCGGGUGACGAGCGGCGGACGGGUGAGUAAUGUCUGGGAAACUGCCUGAUGGAGGGGGAUAACUACUGGAAACGGUAGCUAAUACCGCAUAACGUCGCAAGACCAAAGUGGGGGACCUUCGGGCCUCAUGCCAUCAGAUGUGCCCAGAUGGGAUUAGCUGGUAGGUGGGGUAACGGCUCACCUAGGCGACGAUCCCUAGCUGGUCUGAGAGGAUGACCAGCCACACUGGAACUGAGACACGGUCCAGACUCCUACGGGAGGCAGCAGUGGGGAAUAUUGCACAAUGGGCGCAAGCCUGAUGCAGCCAUGCCGCGUGUGUGAAGAAGGCCUUCGGGUUGUAAAGCACUUUCAGCGGGGAGGAAGGCGGUGAGGUUAAUAACCUCACCGAUUGACGUUACCCGCAGAAGAAGCACCGGCUAACUCCGUGCCAGCAGCCGCGGUAAUACGGAGGGUGCAAGCGUUAAUCGGAAUUACUGGGCGUAAAGCGCACGCAGGCGGUCUGUCAAGUCGGAUGUGAAAUCCCCGGGCUCAACCUGGGAACUGCAUUCGAAACUGGCAGGCUAGAGUCUUGUAGAGGGGGGUAGAAUUCCAGGUGUAGCGGUGAAAUGCGUAGAGAUCUGGAGGAAUACCGGUGGCGAAGGCGGCCCCCUGGACAAAGACUGACGCUUCAGGUGCGAAAGCGUGG
rnacentral:rRNA from 1 species